UACGUAGGGAGCAAGCGUUGUCCGGAAUCAUUGGGCGUAAAGCGCGCGUAGGUGGUCCUAUAAGUCCGCUGUGAAAGUCAAAGGCUCAACCUUUGAAAGCCGGUGGAUACUGUGGGACUAGAGUACGGAAGAGGCGAGUGGAAUUCCUGGUGUAGCGGUGAAAUGCGCAGAUAUCAGGAGGAACACCGAUGGCGAAGGCAGGUCUCUGGGCAUUAACUGACGCUGAGGAGCGAAAGCAUGGGGAGCGAACAGG
rnacentral:rRNA from 1 species